ACGUAUGGGUAUUUAAAUCCAGUGCAAAGAUAAAUGACUGUUUCUCCUAUUUUUAUAAAAUAUUUCAAGACUGAAUGUUUUUCUUUUGCUUAUCAAAACUCUUGACUUGGUAUAUUUUCACAAGCAACAGUUGGAAAAUAGUAUGAUAAUUUAGUAUGAUAUUCAUAAAAAAAAACUUUGGUGGAGCUUGUAAGACUAUGGGGUUUGCUUAAAACCAUAUCCAUAGACCUAGAUUUUUCAACACAAAAGGUCUAAUUCGAUUUCAAGACACACACUUUGUCUUUGAAAUUAUUUUACUGCAUUCACCUUUAAUUGUUUACCAAGUCAUUUUAUAGCUACAAAAGGAGUCAUA
rnacentral:lncRNA from 1 species